GCCCCCUCAGUCAGCACAACAUCCUGCAGUAUGACUUCUUUAUUAGAGGAAACUGAGGUAAAACUGAGGAAAACAAACGAUUAUGUGCUGAAAUUAAAGUCAACUGAAGUUCGACGGUGAUCACGGUUCAGCUUAAAGUAACACAAAAGACAUGAAUCAUAAAAAGAGCUGAUGUGAGACUGCGUAGCUAACGUUAUACAGAUUUAACAAGACUGCAACCAAUUUUGUGUCAGGUGGAGGUUUCAGAGGUCAGAUAUCUUUAUCAGUUUAUGUCACCAUCAAACAUCUCUUAAAAAGAUGCAGAAGAUCAAAACUGAAGUGACAAUCAUCAGACAUCCAACAGCAGAACAACAGAUCAAAAUAAAGGUGUGUUUGGUGAUGAAGUGAAGUCAGUGUCAGUGAUGGAGGGAGAUUCUCUUACUCUACACACUCAUAUUACUGAAAUUAAGAAACGUGAUCUGAUUAUGUGGAGGUUUGUUGUAGCUCAAGAGUUUAUUAUAG